UUCUUCACUAUUGUAUGACCCAUCUAUUUACAGGGUACAUACCAAAUAGCUAAUUGGAAUGGCACAAAGGUUGCACCGAAAAUACUUGACAAGGAAUUUAUUCAGAUUCUGAUACCAUGUGAUAGUUGAUGCAAUUGAUUUAAAGAGCAGACACAAGCUAAGCUUAAGACAGUUAGUUACAACCAAGCUUUGGUGGUCCCAAAACUGCAUUAUGGGAGGAGGAACUCUCUGGAUGUAGUGCUCAUGCAGUGUUAAGAGAGCUUCCAUUGAGGUCUUUGAAGAAAAUUGUGAGUGUUAAGGUAAAACCCAUUGCACCAUUGCAGAUACAGACGAUAUCUGUGAGAUCCAUUCUAGGAAGAUGAAUGUUCACCUUGAUGUCAACUUUGAAGAACUUGCUCAUUCUACGUAUGAUUUCAAUGGAGCACAGCUGAAGCUGUAUGUGUUGAGGCUG